rnacentral:rRNA from 1 species
CAUCUAAGCAUGAAGCCCCCCUCAAGAUGAGAUUUCCCAUAGCGCAAGCUAGUAAGAUCCCUGAAAGAUGAUCAGGUUGAUAGGUCAGAGGUGGAAGCGUGGCGACAUGUGUAGCUGACUGAUACUAAUCGAUCGAGGACUUAACCAAA